GACAGAGGGUGCAAACGUUGUUCGGAAUUACUGGGCGUAAAGCGCGUGUAGGCGGUUCGGAAAGUCGGAUGUGAAAGCCCUGGGCUCAACCCAGGAAGUGCAUUCGAAACUCCCGAACUCGAGUCCUGGAGAGGAAGGCGGAAUUCUCGGUGUAGAGGUGAAAUUCGUAGAUAUCGAGAGGAACAUCGGUGGCGAAGGCGGCCUUCUGGACAGCGACUGACGCUGAGACGCGAAAGCGUGGGGAGCAAACAGG
rnacentral:rRNA from 1 species